rnacentral:rRNA from 1 species
AACGAACGCUGGCGGCGUGCCUAACACAUGCAAGUCGAACGGAGAUAAGAAGCUUGCUUCUUAUUUUAGUGGCGCACGGGUGAGUAACGCGUGGAUAAUCUACCUGACGCUCUGGGAUAACAUCUCGAAAGGGGUGCUAAUACCGGAUAAGCCCACGAGACCUUCGGGUCAUGCGGGAAAAGGAGGGGACCUUCGGGCCUUCCGACAUCAGAUGCGUCCGCGUCCCAUUAGCUAGUUGGCGGGGUAAUGGCCCACCAAGGCUACGAUGGGUAGCUGGUCUGAGAGGAUGAUAAGCCACACUGGAACUGAGACACGGUCCAGACUCCUACGGGAGGCAGCAGUGGGGAAUUUUGCGCAAUGGGGGAAACCCUGACGCAGCAACGCCGCGUGAGUGAUGAAGGCUUUCGGGUCGUAAAGCUCUGUCAGAAGGGAAGAAAUGUAGGUGGCUAAUAUCCAUUCUACUUGACGGUACCUUCAAAGGAAGCACCGGCUAACUCCGUGCCAGCAGCCGCAGUAAUAC